rnacentral:rRNA from 1 species
AUUGAACGCUGGCGGCAGGCCUAACACAUGCAAGUCGAACGGUAGCACAGAGAGCCUGCUCUCGGGUGACGAGUGGCGGACGGGUGAGUAACGUCUGGGAAACUGCCCGAUGGAGGGGGAUAACUACUGGAACGGUAGCUAAUACCGCAUAACGUCGCAAGACCAAAGUGGGGGACCUUCGGGCCUCACACCAUCGGAUGUGCCCAGAUGGGAUUAGCUAGUAGGUGGGGUAAUGGCUCACCUAGGCGACGAUCCCUAGCUGGUCUGAGAGGAUGACCAGCCACACUGGAACUGAGACACGGUCCAGACUCCUACGGGAGGCAGCAGUGGGGAAUAUUGCACAAUGGGCGCAAGCCUGAUGCAGCCAUGCCGCGUGUAUGAAGAAGGCCUUCGGGUUGUAAAGUACUUUCAGCGGGGAGGAAGGCGGUGAAGUUAAUAACUUCACCGAUUGACGUUACCCGCAGAAGAAGCACCGGCUAACUCCGUGCCAGCCGCCGCAGUAA